rnacentral:lncRNA from 1 species
CUAUUUCUCAUCUUUUUAAUGUUGGCAACAAUUCUAAACAAUUUUAACUAUGAUACAGGACAAUCAAAACAUCUCUGCAGGCCAAAUUAAGCCAGCUGGCCACCAGUUGGUGAAUCCGCACCAACACUCAUCACUCUGCAGGUUUGCUCACCACCUUACCUCAGCUGAGAAUGCACUUUCUGCUCAGAUCACUGCAUGUGAAUUUCCCAGCUAAACAUCCACUGUCUGCAUGAACUCUUUCUCCUGAGUUAAAGAUGGAAAUAAUGCCUGCUUCCCCAGUGUUUGUGGAGCACUUCCUCAGUACUUGUCUACCACUCAUAUCACAAAUCUUAAAUAUAAUUGUUUUUAAUCUGUGUCUGAUUCCCAGACCCUAAAAGCAUGAAUAAUUUCUUAUGAAUUUGAUAUGUAUUCUUUUAGUAUAAUGCCUUUCACAUAACAGAGUUUAAAUACACAAUGAAUGAAUAAAUUCUAGCAUUAGUAUCUUCAAAAUAAGUUACUGUAGAGUGGUAGAGUGGUGGAUGUCAAAUGGAAACAAUAAUUUCUAACAUUUUAAAAUAAUAAUUGCAUAAUGUAAAAGAUUCAUCUGAAUUCAUGGGGAUAGGAAUUAAGGCAAUGGGGAGUAUGUGAGCACACACAAAGUGGUAUUUAGGCUUAAACCAUUUUAAUAAUUGGUAGUUACAGUUCUAAAGAUAAUCCUUUAGAUUAACACAGUGAAAUAUGUUUAAUGCCCCAAAGGAUCAAAAAGAAAUAUUUUUCCAAAUUAAUAUUUGAAAUAAUAGAAUCACCUUAUAUGAUUUAAUACAAAUGAUAUAGCUUUAUCAAACUAGAUAAUUUGUAUUUGAAUAGCAGUCUAAAAUGGCUCAUUACCUUCUGUGAAUUAUUUGAUAUUGACCUUCACUUAGCCAAUGACAUUGAUUUAUUUCUUGAGCUCUGAGUUAUGGGAAAACCUUUACUGAACAGACAUCCUACCUCUAUCCUUUUCCAUUGUGCUAUAUUUCACACUUAACAGAAAGAACAAAGAAAUCAAGGUGCAAGGGUACUAAAAUCACCUGCAAAGAGGAUAUAGAGUGUGAUUUUUCAAGAGUACUUUAAUAGUUACAAAUUUAUGAAAUAAGACUAACAUCACCGUAAUAAAUUCAGCAACCUGUAUGUGGGGUUCAUUUAUAGAAGCAAAUAUCUCUAAGAUUCAUAGUAAUGAAACCUUGACAAGCUCUAAGUUUAUGCAGUAAGCUCUUUAAAAUAUCAAUUUCAGGCAAGUCCUCAAACCAGACAAUGACAAAAAUCUAAUAUUUGGAACAACAGUAUUUCCCUAUUUUACAUAGUGACAUACUUAACAAUAAAAAUAACUUUCUUGCAGGUAUUAUCUCAUUUGAUGAACACGACUCUGCUAAAGAUAAAAGGGAAAACCCCUAUAUGCAUUUAAGAAUGGGAAACCAAUUAUUAGUAAAAUAGUUGGCUUGCUGAAUAUUAGCUCUUAGCAAGCAGUGGAAUCAGAGCUAGGCCCUGGUCUCCUGAUCACAUUUCUAGGGUUCUUUAUACUACAAUUUUUAGCUUGUCACAGAUUUAGAGUACAAUUAUGGAGUACUGAUUAAUAUAAUAAUAUAUUUUUGUAUAUAUAUUUUUGUAGCAAGAGUGGGAGGUUAGCAAGAGUGCUACUUUGUAGCAAGAGUGGGAGGUUUUGUAGCAAUGUAUUAAUAUAUUUUUGUAACAAGAGUGGGAGGUUAUCUAGUCUUUUUUUUUUAAUUUAAAGUAAAAUUUGCUAAAAUUACCAAGGAGAAAUUAAAGUUAAUUUCUGUAUAAUAGAAUCUAGAUGGUGCAUUUGUUGGUACUUUCUUGACAUCUACUCUUUACUCUUCGCAAGUGGUUCCAGAUUUUUAUUUGAUGAAAGUGUGCUUCUGGAGACACUGACUCUUCUCAGCUCCAUUUUUAGAGCAAGAAUCAUGAGCUUGCCUUGGUAGAAGAUGUGACUCAUUAGAAGUUGUGAUACAUCCUGCCAAUAAAAUCUAGCAGAUUGCACAUUAGAAGCAGAUCUCCACAUGAAUGUAGCAGCUUUAUUCAAAAUUGUCAGAUACAGGAAGCAACCAAGGUGUCCUUCAAUAGGUGAGUGGAUAAAUAAAUUAUGGUAUAUCUGUACAAUGGAGGAUUAAUCAGUGAUAAAGAAAAAGGAGCUAGCAAGUCAGAGAAAUACAUGGAUGAAUCUUAAAUGAAUACUGCUGAGUGAAGCAAGCCAAGGUUAGCUUGAUGCCAAAUAUAUGAUGUUCUGGAAAAGGCAAAACUAUGGAAACAUUAAAGAUAUCAGUGGUUUCAGAAGAUCCAGUGACAAGGGAAGAGAAUUGAAUAGAUGUUGUGUGGAAAAUCUUUUUCAGGACAAUAAAACCAUUCUGUGUGAUAUUUUAAUAGUGGAGAUAUGACAUUACCCAUUUUCCAAAAUCCUUAUAACUUUCUUGCACAGAGUGAAUUUUUAUCCAAAUAUUUUUAAAAAAUGUUUAGAAGGUUGGGAAUCCUAUGAUGGAAUGUAGAACAUAGCAAGACAGUCUAACAGUAUUAAAAUAUAUGAAAGAACUUCACUAAAGGGCGUGGAGAUAAAAAGCAUUAAGUAAUUUUUUUUUAAUGAGUGGAAUCUCUAAGACUAAAGGUGAAAGAAACUGGAAAUAAACAUUGUAUUCUAGUACAUAAAAUUAAUCUCCAUGGGGGUAUGAAGUAACAAUUCUGAUACCACUAUACACUUAUAUUAGAAUGGAAAGAUUAAGGAAAUGGAUGGUAGAUGGUGUGAGCCAGGUUUCUCACUUUUUUUUUUCACAUACAUAUACACAUGCUAUUUUCUCACAUUACCAUACUCCAUCAUAAGUAACUAGACAUAGUUCCCAGCGCUACACAGCAGGAUCUCAUUGCUAAUAAAUACAAACUAUUGCCUUUGGAAUAGUUUAGGUUUCUCACUUUUAGAGUGUGGGACAACAGAGAAACAAAGGAAGGAGGGUAGAAUGAUUCAUCUGGUAAUGGAUUAUAGUUGGAGUCAUUGUAUUUAGCUUAAUGUGGAUAAAGAUGGUUACAUAAAGAAAGGUAUAUAGAUUUAUGUAUAUACACAAGUUUAUACACAUGAAUUCCUUUGAUCUGUCAGCUGAGAAGACCUAGAAACAAUGAACCUCCAAGAGCAAUGAACACACCUAGUUCUUGGAUCUUGGUUUCUAAUACUGUCCUCCAGCAAGAGAAACCAAGAUCAUUGGAGAAAUGGCUUAUGCUAGGAAUGGGGCAGAAAAUAUAGAGAUGAGCCUAUAGUAUCUUGUAGUGUUAGAAAAUAAGUAUUC